rnacentral:tRNA from 1 species
GCAUCUGUAGUGUAGGGGUUAUCAUCCCAGCCUUCCAUUGCCAUGCAACAGAUAGCUGGGGACUCGAGUUCGAGUCUCGACAGAUGCA